AGGAGAAUCAUUCCACUGUGCUCCUUCCUCCCUGUCCCUUCCUCCCAUCCCUCACUUUCCCUGAGGAAAGCAUAAAGACUUAGCCAAGUCAAUCAGAGAGGAUUAGGGAAGCAGUAGAGGGGCCAGGUAGCAGAAAAGGGAGACCCUCAGCCAUCUUGAGACAAGAGCCACUCCCAAGAAAGAGACGGUAAUCUAGUCCCUGAUGAUCCCUUCGCCUUCAGGGAUAUACCUGGACUAUAGUCAGAGGAUGGUGGCAGGUAUAAGGACUGGGGAUCACCCUGUCACACCCACAUCCAGACCCUGCGAGGUCCUGCUGACUGGGGUCUUUCUGUUUUGGAAACUAGGAACCCAUACUGCAGCCCUGCUCUCACUCCCCCAUCUGCCUGCCCCAUGGACUCCGUUCUGCAUUGACCCCUGUGAUUCUGAUCCCAAGGAACUCCAUCUAGAGGAAUGGCAAUCCAGCAGCCAAAGAAAAUA